GAAAUUUAAAGCUUUGGAGCUUUGCUAAUAAUUUUAUUUUAGAGAAAAUUAGGUUGGGUACACUAAAAAAUGGACAAAUUAAAUUAACACACUUAAAAUAAAUUAAUACGCCCAUCAGGCCCAUUAGUGUCAUUCUAGAACUCUCCUCACGUCUCAAACAUCUGUAGAUUUUCAUUUCCACCUCUAUCCAUUUUUCGCCUCUCUCUUUCUUUGUCGUCUUUUCUGCCUUCAUCCUUCUCCUAUUCAUGUAUUUAUUAAACACCAACCCUAAAAGUCCCAAAUUCACAGUAGCACAAACCCUAACAUUUUAUUGUCAGCAAUGGCUUUGAAGUGUAGGCAAUCAUCAACAAAGUUACCAAGAUGAAACUGACCCGGAAAAAUCCGUGUCUCCAACAUGAAGGAUCUUCUUUUGGAUAAACAAUUUGUGGUAGAAAGCUUGAAAAAGAGAUUGGAAGAGAAAGUGGAAGAUAAUCAGAAGCUCUGUAUACAAGUGAAAGAAAAGCCACUCAAGAGUUUAAAACGUAGUUUAAUGACCGGGAGAGGUAGGUGAGAACCUCUCUAGUGGUGUCAGAAGCCAUGGUAGUGUGGUUGAUAGAGUUAAGAUUAGUAGACCGUAUUAGAUUUCUUUGCUUUACAUAACAUUUUGUUAAAGUUAAGUUGUACAUGCCAAAAGAUUUGUGUCAAGAUUGACUUGCUCGAUUGAAUUGUUUUUGUCUUUUUAUAUUUAAAAAUUCUUAUUCCAAAUCUUUUGUGGUUGCAAGAAAAAUCAUAGGGGCACAUAAAUGUUGCAUUGUAAACAAUGAAUUUCGAGGGUUUCAUUUGAUUGUUUGCCUUCAUGAAUUCUAUUGUUGUGUAAAAUUGAAUAAUUUUACUACAAUCUCG
rnacentral:lncRNA from 1 species